AUGAACGCUGACAGAAUGCUUAACACAUGCAAGUCAACUUGAAUUUGGGUUUUUAACUUAGGUUUGGGUGGCGGACGGGUGAGUAACGCGUAAAGAACUUGCCUCACAGCUAGGGACAACAUUUGGAAACGAAUGCUAAUACCUAAUAUUAUGAUAAUAGGGCAUCCUAUAAUUAUGAAAGCUAUAAGCGCUGUGAGAGAGCUUUGCGUCCCAUUAGCUAGUUGGAGAGGUAACGGCUCACCAAGGCGAUGAUGGGUAGCCGGCCUGAGAGGGUGAUCGGCCACAAGGGGACUGAGACACGGCCCUUACUCCUACGGGAGGCAACAGUGGGGAAUAUUGGACAAUGGGCCGAGAGUCUGAUCCAGCAAUUCUGUGUGCACGAUGAAGUUUUUCGGAAUGUAAAGUGCUUUCAGUUGGGAAGAAACAAAUGACGGUACCAACAGAAGAAGUGACGGCUAAAUACGUG
rnacentral:rRNA from 1 species